GUGAAUCAUCAAAUUUUUGAACGCAAAUUGCACUCUCCGGUUUUCCGGGAGAGUAUGCCUGUUUGAGGGUCAGCCUAAAAAAAAUCGAAAUUGGUGCUGUUUUUUGGUUACUUUUGUUGGGGAUGGGUUAUUUUAAAUCUUGGUUUAAGCGACUUAAAAAUUUUUUUUACGAUUCUUAGAAUGUUUCUAAGAUUUUUCUUGUACGUUUAAGGUAUUGGAUGGUUUAUUAGACGU
rnacentral:misc_RNA from 1 species